GACGAACGCUGGCGGCGUGCUUAACACAUGCAAGUCGAACGGAAAGGCCCUGCUUUUGUGGGGUGCUCGAGUGGCGAACGGGUGAGUAACACAUGAGUAACCUGCCCUUGACUUUGGGAUAACUUCAGGAAACUGGGGCUAAUACCGGAUAGGAGCUCCUGCUGCAUGGUGGGGGUUGGAAAGUUUCGGCGGUUGGGGAUGGACUCGCGGCUUAUCAGCUUGUUGGUGGGGUAGUGGCUUACCAAGGCUGUGAAGGGUAGCCGGCCUGCGAGGGUGACCGGCGACAUUGGGCCUGAGAUACGGCCCAGACUCCUACGGGAGGCAGCAGUGGGGAAUAUUGCACAAUGGGAGGAAGCCUGAUGCAGCAACGCCGCGUGCGGGAUGCCGGGUUUCGGGUUGUAAACCGCUUUCGCCUGUGACGAAGCGUGAGUGACGGUAAUGGGUAAAGAAGCACCGGCUAACUACGUG
rnacentral:rRNA from 1 species